UACAGAGACUGCAAGCGUUCUUCGGAUUCACUGGGCGUAAAGGGUGCGCAGGCGGCCAAGUGUGUGAGGCGUGAAAGCCCGGGGCUUAACCCCGGAAUUGCACCUCAAACUACUUGGCUAGAGCAUUGGAGAGGGUAGCAGAAUUCAUGGUGUAGCAGUGAAAUGCGUAGAUAUCAUGAGGAAUACCAGAGGCGAAGGCGGCUACCUGGACAAUUGCUGACGCUCAGGCACGAAAGCGUGGGGAGCAAAAGGG
rnacentral:rRNA from 1 species